AGCCCCAAUCCAGUUACAGACUGCUCUGGGGUGUAAAGAAGGAGUUAUUUAUACUCCUCAACUCUUCUUCUCUUUUGACAUCCUAUUGGAUUAGAGAAAGAAUGAGAUUGCUUUUACUUUCAAGACCAAUGCCUGGAGCACAGGCAGCCUCCUCUAACACCACUCCUGCUCCCCUUACCCGUCCCCUGUUCUGGACACUGUGUUGCACUAAUCUUUUAUUUGUUGUUUUUGAAUAUUGUUGUCACUGUUCACUUAAGAAAAUAUGCACAAUGUGAGAGUUGUAAAUUAAGUUUUAUUUGGGGCAAAAUGAGGAUUAUAGCCCGGGAGGCAGCAUUUCAGAUAACUCUGGAAAACCACUCCAGAGAGGUGGGGGGACUGUCAAUAUUAUAUGUAAGUUUGGUGAAGGGGGAGGUACAUGCAUUCAGGCACACAUUUGGUUGCUGCUAGUCACAGGGAGCAGAUGUCACUGUGAAGGAUUUUAGUGCUUCUCUGGAUAGGAGGAGAUGUAAGAAUUGGGCUCAUAAAAUCUUCUCCUGAAAAUAUUUAACUAUCUGAAGACCUGUUCUGCCACUUUCCUCAGAGCACAGAGUGCCUUUCUCACUCCUGCUCACCAUCCUGAACACUCCAGGGGGUGUUGAGGGUCAGCACAUGGCAGUGGCUCAAGGUUUAAUCCUUGUAAAGGCAGACAGCAGGUGCCAAUCUCCAGUUCACAUCACUCAUAUAUUGCACCUUGAUAUUCUUAGUUGCAUAUGGAAAGCUUCUUCACUCUAAAGUGAGAUUGGAUUUGGAAGGUUAUUUUUAUUUUUAUUUUUUUAUCCUCACUGGUUCCUUUCAGGCUAUUUACUUAUGUGUGCAAAGCAAGCAGUGAUAUGAUUUAAAGCUUUAGAAUGGAGCACAGCUAUGGAAACAGAUUUUUUCCCUGGUUAAUGAGUAGCUUUGCUUUUCUUGAAAAAAAAAAAAAAGGAUGAAAUGAGCUGAGGAGGGUAGGUUAUGGAGUCCAUUCUUGCCUAGCCAAGGCCACUAGAAAAGUUAAUGGAUAUGGUUAUAUUUAGAGGGCUAACCAGAGGGGUUUAAAUUCUGUGCUGACUGCAUUUCAACUCUCCAUUUAAAAAUGCUCUAUAAUUUUUUGCUCACAGAGUACCAGAAACAGGGGCCUCAGGAAAAGUUCUAUGCGUGACCUGGGGUGAUGGGACACCUCUAUUUAUGGCAAAUGGCUUUGACUUCUGUGGGAUUGGGUCAUAUUGUUACAGCUGCGAGACUAAAAAGGAUUUGAAUGAUUAUAUUUUGACUAGAAUUCUUCCUACACUUUUAAGAAACGGGGAAACUUUAGUUUCUCUCUUUCAGUCAAUCUUUCUUUACUUUCCCUCAUUUUUUUCUUGCUUCCGCCUUCUUCCAAAUUACUUUUUUUGGAGGCUAUGUUAAUUGUUUCUUAAUUAUCCUGGAAUAUUGUGUACCACUCACGGUGUGCACCUUGGUAUUGGAUAGUAUGGAGAACUUCUUCACUUUGAAGUGAGUUUGGGUUUAGAAGUUUAUUGUUUUUCUUGUGGUUUCCUUUCAGGCAAUUCUAUUGUAUGUGACAAUGAUGCAAAGCAGGCUGAGAGUUGACUUAAGGCUUUAGAAUGGGUCUGAACUAUGGAAACAGAUUCUUCUUUAGUUAAUGCUAUAGGUGUGUGUGACUUCAUUUUGUCAGUCCAGUGACAUAGUUGAUUAUUGUCAACAAAGAGUAAACAAAAGAGAAUGACAGGAUAGCAUAUCAUUAAGAACAAAAAGAGCAGUGCUCAGUGUAUGUAAUCAUUAGAUGCCAAGCACAUGUCUAAGCAUCCCAACUUUCCUUCAUAGUUAUUAUUUUUGUUUGAAAAAACUGGAUUGCAGUUCAGUGUACUUUAUUCUCAGUAGUAGUGAAGAGUAUUAAUAUUUACCUGUGGUUGCAAUUUAUAGACUCUAUACUGAGCACUUUAUGUCCAUUAUCUUAUUUAAGCCCUGCAGUAACACUUCGAGAUAAGAUUUAUACUGGUCUAUGGGACAUAGAUUAAGUACUUAUUACAUAUGCAUACACACACACAUAUAGGCACACAUAUGUGCCCAAGCUCCUGUUGCAAUUUUUCAAUUUAAAUAACUGAGAUGGCAGUGAAUUAGCCUCAAUUUUCAGUGUUAAGCUACUAAGGAAUUUGGUUCCAGCAUGGCAAAAUAAAUCAUCCCUUAGUACAACCAUCUCUCCCAUUCAUUACAGCUAUAAACACUGGACAGAAUACAAGCAAAACAAACGCUAUUCGAGGACUCUGAAAACUAAAUCAAAGCAGACGAUUGUUGAGGAAGGGCAGUACUUGGCCAAGUCACCAUGUGGUGGUGAGAUUCCCAUUUCCCCCUCUUCUUUCUUACAGCUUUACUCCCAAGGGUAGGUACCAUUAUGGAAUGGAGAGGGAGUGAUGGCAGGAUGGACAGGUGAAAUCUUAACGGAAGGUCAGUUCUUCUAGCUAGAGAAACCAGGAAAAGGAGCCCCAGGGGGCUGGAGACUGAGGAGAAAAUACCAGAGUGGAGAGAACUGGAAAAGAGCUCCUUAAUUCUGUGUUUGAAUCUGCACAUGUCUGAGACUCAUUCUUAAAUGUAAAUGGGAGUGACAGACUCAACCAGUACAGCACAGCUUUGAUUACUAAGCUGAAGUUUGCACUAGUGCCCACAGAUGGUAAGAUGGAACUUGAAAUGUGGGUCUAAACAAUUGGUUAUUGAUAAAACAAAAACAUCAGCAUUCUCCAGAGGAUAACAGGACUCAGUAUUUAUAAAAUAUAAUAUUCAUAAUGUCCAGAUAUGUUUCAAAGUUACACAAAUACUUCAAAAAUCAAGAAAAUAUGUCCAUAUCUUUACCCCAAUAGAAAACAUAAUGAACAUAUGCCAAAAUCAGUAUGACCUCGAUACUGGAGUCAUCAGACAGGCUUCAAAGCAGACGUGUGCCAUGAGGGAAGGAAAACACACUUGAAAGGCAUGGAAAGCUAGAGGCUUUUAGAGGGAAAUAGAAGGAUAACCAAAUAGACAUUUUAGAG
rnacentral:lncRNA from 1 species